rnacentral:misc_RNA from 1 species
GAUGAAGAACGCAGCGAAAUGCGAUAAGUAGUGUGAAUUGCAGAAUUCAGUGAAUCAUCGAAUCUUUGAACGCACAUUGCGCCCCUUGGUAUUCCAUGGGGCAUGCCUGUUCGAGCGUCAUUUGUACCUUCAAGCUUUGCUUGGUGUUGGGUGUUUGUCCCUCGGGACUCGCCUUAAAGUCAUUGGCAGCCAGUGUUUUGGUUUUGAAGCGCAGCACAAGUCGCGAUUCAAGGCUAUCCGCCCGCUUCCACAAGCCUUUUUCACUUUUGACCUCGGAUCAGGUAGGGAUACCCGCUGAACUUAAGCAUAUCAUAAGCGGAGGA